GACGAACGCUGGCGGCGUGCUUAACACAUGCAAGUCGAACGGAAAGGCCCUGCUUUUGUGGGGUGCUCGAGUGGCGAACGGGUGAGUAACACGUGAGUAACCUGCCCUUGACUUUGGGAUAACUUCAGGAAACUGGGGCUAAUACCGGAUAGGAGCUCCUGCUGCAUGGUGGGGGUUGGAAAGUUUCGGCGGUUGGGGAUGGACGCGCGGCUUAUCAGCUUGUUGGUGGGGUAGUGGCUUAACAAGGCUUUGACGGGUAGCCGGCCUGAGAGGGUGACCGGCCACAUUGGGACUGAGAUACGGACCAGACUCCUACGGGAGGCAGCAGUGGGGAAUAUUGCACAAUGGGCGGAAGCCUGAUGCAGCAACGCCGCGUGCGGGAUGACGGCCUUCGGGUUGUAAACCGCUUUCGCCUGUGACGAAGCGUGAGUGACGGUAAUGGGUAAAGAAGCACCGGCUAACUACGUG
rnacentral:rRNA from 1 species